UCUAGCCCACUAGAUCUGCCACCAGGGACGGCUAGGGUGAGGGAGGAGAGCCUCCAUGGUUGCCGGAUCCGCCUACGUCGAGGCCGGAUCUACCUCCCCAUGCGCCACCGAUGCGGGAUCCACCUGUGCUAGCCGGAUCUAGUGGAGGCGGUGGAGGAGCGCUGCCAUGCAGGGAGAGGGAGGAGGGAGAGCCGCCCUAGCGCCACCAUCGAUGGGAAGGUAGGGGGAGCUUGCGCCGCCAGUGCCGGUCCAUGCCUCAUGCGCCGCCCCACUGCCGGUGCUUGACAGGAUCCUUCUCCACCGUUGACAUGAUCCUUCUUAUUGAGCAAGUGACAAGUGAUCAACAAAAAAGAAGUGAGCACAAGAAUCUGAUUCAGUGGUUUACUUGGUUCCAGUUCAUGCAAGGUGAGGAUGGACGGGGAGUGACAAGGCCAGGCGAUUUCGUAGAUAGAGACGAGGCAAGGCUGGGAGAGGUGGUAAUAGUUAACUAAUUUUCUUUACACAGACAUCUUGAUAUUCACCUCAUCAGGUAUUGCAAGUUCAGGUACUGCUUCCUAUGAUACUAUUACUUGCAUGCAUCAUUUGAAGUUCAGGUAUUUUGUUUGUAUGCAUCACUUCAAGUUAAUUGAAUAGCCUAAAAUAAAAUUAUAGACAUAUGAUACUUUUUGCUGAACAAAAAACCUUCAUGCAUUGCAAAGGUACACGUCCAUGAAUCUCCCAGUGAGAUCGCCGCCGUCCUCUCCAUCACAAUUAAUUUUUUAUUAAUAAGUCAACCAUAGGUACUGCUAGCUGAGCGAUCAGCAACGACAUGUAUAGUGAUAUCCGGACUUUAAAAUGUGCUGAUAUACUUUAUCGAUUUUUAUAUCUUGCAAAUUUGGGAACAUUAAACUGCUCUUUUUCUAAUAAAAUAUAACAUUGAACUUAUUUUUUUGUUCUGACUUUAUGAAACUAGGAAUGGCGCUCCAGCUGCUUGCACAGCAAGAGUGGUGUCAAUGAGCUUCCACAAACUGACUGCAGUAAAGCCAUUUCACUCUUUGAUAUCUACAACAUGGGAUACUAGAUGUUACAAGUCUUGACGUUGAAAGCCAUUCAUCAUCAGUAAUAGCUUAAGGUGAAGUCUGAACACCUCACACCAAACAAAAACUGACUGCAGUAAAGAAGAUAAUUGUGCUUGUGCAUACACAACUCCAACUAACCUGUGUGCUUUGACGGAACCAAAGUAGAUACUGACAUGCUGCAAUGUUUUUUCUGUCUCUCAGUCAAACCUAUCUUGAACAACUACUGCCUACCUUAUCUUGGAGCAACCUCCUGCCUUUUAAAUAUACCAUUAUAUCUUGAGCAAUUGAGUAGUCAAUGGCGAAGCCUUGUUAAGCCAUCGGGGUCCGACGACACCAACGAUUUUGCCGUAAACAAUUAUAGCGAUCAAAUUUUUACCGACAAGACCCCACUAAAAAUUUCGUUAGACCCUUGUGCACCCAGCGGCAGGCAGCAGCAGCAUUCUGUACUUUGGAGUCCAGCCCAGCAACAACAGUCCAGCCCAUCUACUUAAUUAGUCCAUCUACUUAUUGACUUAAUUAGCCCACAUGAUCCAUACGUGAACUGGAGAAGCCGAGAAGACAAAACUUGUCCUUGCUAGCUUGCCUCCGAGGCUCUGAUCCAGUGUUAUUAGCACACCCUUUCACCUUUGGCAGUUCGGCUCCGUAUCAUGACGCAUCGCCUGCCUGCCGCCGGCCGCCGGCAUCGCCCCUAGCGCUGCUCAUUCUCCGGCUGUCGACUGCUCCAAGACAUCUAGACAAGACAAGGGUUCUUUUCCAGCUAUAGUACAAUACAAUCUGAAGUUCUGAACCCGGAUUCUUAGAAGUCAGAAAGCAUUACUCAAGAUUCAAUACUCUAAAAUGUUAUCUCCAGACUCCAUCUGUCCAGCAAGAUGCCAGUCAAUCAAAGCACUUUGAAUGGAUUUCUCAAAAGGAAAUUACCCCCAGAUAGUGAUAAUCAGAAUAAUCAUGGAGACACAAACACUUCAAGAAUAAGAAGAGAUGGAGAUGGCACUGCAUCAAACAUUAAUUGUCAUGUUCAGCACACUACGUACACGGAUCUCACGAGAUGAGAGAAAAGAUAAAGAUAUCAUGGAGGCCAUGAUGGAGGUGAAGUUAACCAAGCAGAAAUUUCAGCUAAUUAGAGAUGAUGGUUGGGAUUCUUUAUUGCUGGUUGUGCAGUCAUUUUGUGAACAACAUGGAAUUCCCAAGUUGCAUAUGGAUGAGGAAUAUAUUGAUGCUAUAGGCCAAGAAAAAAGACCAUUCGAACAAACUAUCAACAUUACAGAUAUGAUUGCUUGAAUCCAAUUAUGGACUUGCAGCUUGCAGAAUUCAAUGAUCGUUUCAAUGACGUAAACUCUCAAUUGCUCACUCAGAUUGCUGCUUUCAAUCCCAAGAAUAAUUUUGAGACUUUCAAAUUUAAUAGUUUAAUGGAGUUGGCUAAGUCAUAUCCUGAUGAUUUCAAUUCAACACAACUAACGGAUCUUGGUGAUGAGCUUAAUCUUUAUAUUGACAAUGUGCGAGCUGAUGAGAGAUUUGCCAACCUAAACACUAUUUCUGAACAUGCUAAGUUGAUGGUGUGUACAAACAAGCAUCUGGGUUUUCCUUUGGUGUAUUGGCUUCUCAAGCUAGUACUAGUUCUUCUAGUUGCCACUGCAUCUGUUGAGAGAUGCUUUUCAGCUAUGAAAAUUGUGAAGACAAUACUAUGAAAUCGUAUUGGAGAUGGAUUUACGAAUGAUUAUCGUAUGCUUUGUGGAACCAGAAUUUCUAGCGAAAAUUCCAAUUGAUGAUGUCAUCAUUCGCUUUCACAAGAUGAAGGAUCAUAAUCGCAGAGGGAACCUAUAGGAGAUACUAUUAAAACUUCUUUUGUUAUAAUUUAUCAGCUGCUACAAUGCUAUUUUAUAUUUUUUGAUGUUAUGUACGGUACUAUAUUAUCACAACCUUAAAGUUAGUAUAUUAUGGGCUUGUCUUGACCCUAGCUGCGAUAAAUCCUGGCUUCGCCCUUAUGAGUAGCCAUUGUCAAUUCUUCGUAUUUUCUGAAGGGAUUGUAAAACGACUAUAUGCAUACUAGUUGGUGACUUUAGUAGUCUUGCUAUUCUCUGGUAUA